rnacentral:rRNA from 1 species
GCUGGAAUCUCUCGGGGUUACAGCCUUGCUGAAUUAUUCACCCUUGUCUUUUGCGUACUUCUUGUUUCCUUGGUGGGUUCGCCCACCACUAGGACAAACAUAAACCUUUUGUAAUUGCAAUCAGCGUCAGUAACAAAUUAAUAAUUACAACUUUCAACAACGGAUCUCUUGGUUCUGGCAUCGAUGAAGAACGCAGCGAAAUGCGAUAAGUAGUGUGAAUUGCAGAAUUCAGUGAAUCAUCGAAUCUUUGAACGCACAUUGCGCCCUUUGGUAUUCCAAAGGGCAUGCCUGUUCGAGCGUCAUUUGUACCCUCAAGCUUUGCUUGGUGUUGGGCGUCUUGUCUCUAGCUUUGCUGGAGACUCGCCUUAAAGUAAUUGGCAGCCGGCCUACUGGUUUCGGAGCGCAGCACAAGUCGCACUCUCUAUCAGCAAAGGUCUAGCAUCCAUUAAGCCUUUUUUCCACUUUUGACCUCGGAUCAGGUAGGGAUACCCGCUGAACUUAAGCAUAUCAAUAAGCGGAGGAA